AUGGGCCUUCGUGAGCAGUCCUGGUAGCUCCAACCCUGCAGCUGGCUUGUGGCAGGGCUGGGAUCUGAGCUUGGGUUUAUGGUCCCUGGAGCUAGAACAUGGGGUCUUGCCCUAUUGCCCAGCCUGGAGUGCGGUGGAGCAAUCAUAACUCACUGAAGCCUCCAAUUCAUGGGCUCAAGUGAUCCUCCACCCACGUCGGCCUCCUGAGCAGCUGGAAUUGACCAUCUCGUGUUUUCACCUCCCCGUGUAUGGGUGCUGGCUGAUGAUCCGAUCACAUGAGCCGCGUGAAGGCUCUGAAUCUCCACGGUGCCAUCUCCAGUUUCUGGGCAUCGCGUUCCUCUCAAGAAUGAACGGCGAUUUCAAAGGACCCCAACACUGGGUGAUGGCGUGCAAGGUGUUACCGAGAAAUAAACUUCAAGCAGUGAAGACAGAUGGAUGAGAUGGAGCUGUGAUUGAACAUGUCUCAGAGGUUAGACAUCUAAGAAACAGUCGCAGAGGACAAAGAACACAUUGAUUUUUAAAUAAGCAAUUCACGAUGGAAUGAAAAAUGGAAUUAAAAGGAAUUUUGGGCAAAUAAAUGACUGCAGGUAGUAAAUUAAGAUUCCAUAACAUCACGUAAAAAGGGUCAUUGCAAG